CCCAUAAUUCCUUACUUGCGAAACAUGAACGAAAAUACCAAAUAUGUAUUUAUACAUCUGAGGAACUACCUUGGUUUCUUCUGUCAUUAAACAAAUAUAAUCACCUACGCAGAACAUUCAUUGAUUGCAGAAAUUCAUAUUUUCCGAUACAGAGAUUUUUAAAUGAGGUUUGGUUUUAAAACCAUAAAAGAAUUUUGUGUUCACAGAGAUUCAAUUUAAAAUCAAGACUUACUGGCGUACACUCAGAUUGAAAUGUGGGACAAGGAUAUGAAAUUCCAUUGACUAUAAUCAACAAAUAAAUUAAAGAGAAUGAAAUAUGCCUUCUAGCUGCUACCAUUGAACCAUCCAAAUCGCUUUAAAAAAUCCAACAACUUACAAAUGUGUACAUGCGCUAAAUUAGUAGAGUCUUAAAGAAAUGAAAAUGUAAAGUGGGACUCCUUCCGACUGCCAGUGCGGGACAUACACAGCAGAUGUUCUAUGGUCUUUUCAUCCUCGACGUCCUCACAGCGUCUGCAGAAGUCGUUACAUACAUCAUUCAGUCCGUCAACAUAUUAACCGAUCAGAUAGCGACCUGUCAUGACGGACACACUGACUGUGUGUCCGAGAAACAAAAUAAAUUUAUUACUAAGUUUUUCCUUUAUUGUAACUAUCUAACGUUUCGCUUCAACAUAUAAACCGUUAGCCAUAAACGUAGUAUUAUAUAACGUAA
rnacentral:sRNA from 1 species